AGUGAGCCUGCUCGCGAUAGCGGUCGAUCAGUCGACAUCAAUGUUGAAUACCAGACCGCUAUCGCGAGCAGGCUCACU
rnacentral:misc_RNA from 1 species